GAGCGUAAGCGCGCGCAGGCGGCCUUUUAAGUUGGAUGUGAAAGCCUAUGGCUCAACCAUAGAACUGCAUCCAAAACUAUCAGGCUAGAGUGUGGGAGAGGAAGAUGGAAUUAGUUGUGUAGGGGUAAAAUCCGUAGAGAUAACUAGGAAUACCAAAAGCGAAGGCAAUCUUCUGGAACAUUACUGACGCUGAGGCGCGAAAGCGUGGGGAGCAAACAGGAUUAGAUACCCUGGUAGUCCACGCCCUAAACGAUGAAUGUUAGUCGUCGGGUAGCUAGUCUAUUCGGUGAUGCAGCUAACGCAUUAAACAUUCCGCCUGGGGAGUACGGUCGCAAGAUUAAAACUCAAAGGAAUAGACGGGGACCCGCACAAGUGGUGGAGCAUGUGGUUUAAUUCGAAGAUACGCGAAGAACCUUACCUAGCCUUGACAUAUUUUAGAACACUUUAGAGAUAGAGUGGUGCCUUCGGGAGCUAAUAUACAGGUGCUGCACGGCUGUCGUCAGCUCGUGUCGUGAGAUGUUGGGUUAAGUCCCGCAACGAGCGCAACCCUCGUCACUAGUUACUAACGGUUCGGCCGAGGACUCUAGUGAGACUGCCUUCGCAAGGAGGAGGAAGGUGAGGACGACGUCAAGUCAUCAUGGCCCUUACGGCUAGGGCAACACACGUGCUACAAUGGCCAGGACAAUGAGAAGCGAUACCGCGAGGUGGAGCAAAUCUAUAAACCUGGUCUCAGUUUCGGAUUGUAGU
rnacentral:rRNA from 1 species